UGCCCGGGACCCAGUUCAAGUAAUUCAGGAUAGGUUGUAUGCUGUCCAACCUGUUCUCUAUUACUUGGCUCGGGGGCCGGCGCC
ensembl:miRNA